rnacentral:rRNA from 1 species
AUUGAACGCUGGCGGCAUGCCUUACACAUGCAAGUCGAACGGCAGCACGGGAGCAAUCCUGGUGGCGAGUGGCGAACGGGUGGGUAAAGUAUCGGAACGUGCCCAGUCGUGGGGGAUAACGUAGCGAACGUUACGCUAAUACCGCAUACGAUCUAUGGAUGAAAGCGGGGGAUCGCAAGACCUCGCGCGAUUGGAGCGGCCGAUAUCAGAUUAGGUAGUUGGGGGGGUAAAGGCUCACCAAGCCGACGAUCUGUAGCUGGUCUGAGAGGACGACCAGCUGCAUUGGGACUGAGAAACGGCCCAGACUCCUACGGGAGGCAGCAGUGGGGAAUUUUGGACAAUGGGCGCAAGCCUGAUCCAGCCAUGCCGCGUGCAGGAUGAAGGCCUUCGGGUUGUAAACUGCUUUUGUACGGAACGAAAAGGUUUGACUUAAUACGUUGGACUCAUGACGGUACCGUAAGAAUAAGCACCGGCUAACUACGUGCCAGCAGCCGCGGUAA